rnacentral:lncRNA from 1 species
UUCUGUUUCAGAGAUCGCGAGUUCGCAAUAAUUCUCCUUCUUGCCAGCAGGCUCCUCCGUGGUGUGAUGUACACCUCAAGGACAGAACACGCGCCUACUUGAAGGCCACACAGCCUUGGGCCCGGAGGCGUUAUCUCCGGGGCCCUUCCGUGGAGAUCUGCCGAGCCUCCCCGCGAGGUUCCCGAGCUCACUGAGCAAGCGCACAACCGGCUAGGCUGCUUCGGGGAGCGACCUGCAGUGGAAAGGCCGGGACUAGUCUCCGGUCCUAGCGGUGCUGGGUGCAGGAGGCCGCAGCCACCCGCGGACGCCAAGUAACUCACACCGGCUUUCUCCAGUAAUAAUCAGAGGGAGGAGGGAGCGUGCGAGGAGUACUGGAAAGACUGAGGGGCUCUAAACCCGCUGUCCAAGGGCCAGAGGCUGGAGAGGGGCCUAUGAGAUUGCACUUUGCUGGCGAGGACUUUCCUCUGAACCAUCCGGCCGGUGCCAGGGUUGUGAAGCGGAAAAAAGGCACUUCCGACCCAAGAAUUCUCAAGCUUCCCUGGGAGCGCGCGUCCGGAGAGCGGUGAGGCCCACGCGCGCCCGGAUGUGGCGACCUUGGAGCCCGCGAGAUCUACUGCAGCUUUUGGCUCCCGGGCGUGUGAGAGACGGAAACUUGGCCUCGGUCCUAUCUUGUCCCAGGCGGUUGCCCCAUUUACCUCGGUGGCGGGCCAGACGCGAAGGUACCUAUUUAGCCUUGUCACCCCACCUCCAGUACAGGAGAUUGAACCUAGGCGCCCUAUCAUUCAGCUGCAUCUCCAGCCCCCCUCCCUUCUUUCCUUUCUUUCUUUUCUUUUUUCUUUUCAUUUUGCGAUAGGGCCUUACUCAGUGGUUUAGGCAGGCCUGGAACUUUCGAUUCUGCCUCAGCCUCUAGAAUAUUUCGGAUCGCAGGCGUGCGUCACCGGGCAGGCUAAUAAACAUAUUUUUUAAAUGAAUACGUUAUCAUUAUUUCCUCUUUUUCUAUUAGAACGUGUCUUUUUAAAACUUAUUUUUUGUUGUUGUUUUAGAUGGAUACAAUACCUUUCUAUUUAUCUAUUUUGAUGUAGUUCUGAGAAUCGAAUCCAGUGAGU